UUUCAAGGUAAGCCCAGAAGGAACAACGAAGAUAGGGAACAGCCCCUCUGAAGAAGGCGGAUUUGGGCCCCGCUAGGCAGCAAAUCGGAGACAUUGUUUCUCUUCUGAAUCGUAAAGAUGCGUACGAAGGGAAGGUCACAACCACCAGAAGGGAAAAACGACUUCAGCUAUGCAAUGGAACGAUGUAAAACAGCGGGACACCACGGGAUCAAGGAGCAAUUGGAGCAGGGAUUGGUGGAAACUGGGACGGUGGCUAGGGCGUUCGAUAAUGCUGGGUUGAUGUCUAUUUAAUAGAAGCCACAUCGGCACCCUGCAGUGAGGUACGGAAUACAAUUGAGGACGGAUCGGAUCGAUGGACAUGAGAACAGACUCAAUUAUUCGAAAGUUCAAAAUUCAUCUGCAAAUUUAUAUAGCUUGUAAUAUUGCAACGGAGGGCACGCGCGUUGCUGAUAGUAGCAUUGUGUAUGGGAGUUACAGUCCACGUCUUCUAAUUCCCCAGAAAAUCGUGUGCUUUUGACCAAACAGUUUACGCCAGACCAUUUAGCGGCUUUGUGCUAAGCGACAUCUUACCAUCCGGCGGUAUUCAACAAGCACAAUCCGAAUGACAUCUGUUUUGGGAUCGAGCUACACUGGACGAACCUAAUUCAUUUGUCACGGAGCACCCGGCAUAAACUGGACGCUGUUUUUUACGUGAACCGUCCACACUUGUCUGUACCUAAUCACCGCGCGUUCAAUCCGAUUCCCGUGCAUCUAUACUCCACGUCGCCUCCACCCCGAUAUCAGUCUACGUGCUACUGGAGCGCCAUUUAAUACUGGAGUCUCUGUCAUCAUUAAGUUAAUGUAUCAUUUCGUUUUAUAUUAGAUUUUCGCGGCGCUCGUCUACUUUCUAGCGAAAUCACCCCCAAGAAGCACGCGGCUCGCCUGAUUGCUAGCAAAAAUGGAAGAUAUGCAGUUUCAUGCAAAAAAAAAGAUGAACAAUAGUUGAUGGGGUUUCUCUAGCACAGGCGUAUCAAGUAACAAAAGCAGGCUACAACAGUUACUACUUAAACGACACGUUCAUCUUUGAUGACUCGGUAAGCACGGACCCAACCGAAAUUGAAGGGAAUACCGGCUCUAACGACUGGUUGCGUUCUAAAAAUGGUACCAUAAACUCGUCUGGCCGCUGCUGCAACC